rnacentral:rRNA from 1 species
GACGAACGCUGGCGGCGUGCUUAACACAUGCAAGUCGAACGGAAAGGCCCUGCUUUUGUGGGGUUCUCGAGUGGCGAACGGGUGAGUAACACGUGAGUAACCUGCCCUUCACUUUGGGAUAACUUCAGGUAACUGGGACUAAUACCGGAUAGGAGCUCCUGCUGCAUUGUGGGGGUUGGAAAGUUUCGGCGGUUGCGGAUGGACUCGCGGGUUAUCAGCUUGUUGGUGGGCUAGUGGCUUACCAAGGCUUUGACGGGUAGCCGGCCUGAGAGGGUGGCCGGCCACAUUGGGACUGAGGUAGGGACCAGACUCGAACGGGGGGCAGCAGUGGGGAGUAUUACACAAUGGGCGGAAGCCUGAUGAGACAACGCCGCGUGCGGGAUGACCGCCUUCGGGUUGUAAACCGCUUUAGCCUGAGACGAAGCGUUAGUGACGGUAAUGGGUGAAGAAGCACCGGCUAACUACGUG